GAAAUAGCUGGUUCUCCCCGAAAUAUAUUUUGGUAUAGCCUUGCAACUUUAAGUAUCGGAGGUAGAGCACUGAAUGGGCUAGGGGUCUUACCAGACUACCAACCCCAACCAAACUCCGAAUGCCGAUAACUUCAAUUGCAGGAGUCAGACUGCGGGAGAUAAGUUCCGUGGUCGAAAGGGAAACAGCCCAGACCGCCAGCUAAGGUCCCCAAUACAUGCUAAGUGGAAAAGGAUGUGGAAGCGUAUAGACAGCCAGGAGGUUGGCUUAGAAGCAGCCACCCUUCAAAGAAAGCGUAAUAGCUCACUGGUCAAAUGAGUCUGCGCCGAAAAUUUAACGGGGCUCAAGCAUGUAACCGAAGCUGCGGACUUGCAUCGCAAGAUGGGAGUGGUAGGGGAGCAUUCUGUCGUAGGUUGAAGCCGGAUCGAAAGGCCCGGUGGACGAAACAGAAGAGAUUAUGCUGACAUAAGUAGCGAUAAAGUCUGUGAAAAACAGACUCGCCGAAAACCUAAGGUUUCCUGAGUAAAGCUAAUCUUCUCAGGGUUAGUCGAUCCCUAAGCCGAGGCCGACAGGCGUAGGUGAUGGGAAACAGGUUAAUAUUCCUGUACCACUGAAGACGCGUUAUCAACUAAGGGGGGACGUAGAAGGGUAAGCCAUCCGGGUGUUGGAUGUCCCGGUUCAAGCCCGUAGGGGGAGAUUCCAGGCAAAUCCGGAAUCUCAUUCAACUCCGAGAGGCGAUGAGGAGAGAUUUAUCUCAUAAACUGGCCGAUCCCAUGCUACCAAGAAAAUCCUCGUAGUGAGUUUCUUUGGUGAUCGUACCGCAUACUGACACAGGUAGGUGAGGAGAGAAUCCUAAGGCGCUUGAGUGAUCUCUCGUUAAGGAACUCGGCAAAAUGACACCGUAACUUCGGAAGAAGGUGUGCCUCGUUAGCGUGAAGCGAUUCGCACGUGAAGCGCGAAGAGGUUGCAAUAAAACGGCCCAAGCGACUGUUUAGCAAAAACACAGGACUCUGCUAAGUCGUAAGACGAUGUAUAGGGUCUGACGCCUGCCCGGUGCCGGAAGGUUAAGGGGAUUUGUUAGCCGCAAGGCGAAGCUUUGAACCGAAGCCCCGGUAAACGGCGGCCGUAACUAUAACGGUCCUAAGGUUAAAGUGAAAAACGCUAGCCUUAGUAAAACUAAACCAUAUGCGGGAAACUCCUCAACAGCCGUUCGAUACUCGUUUCGCGGACGACGCGGAACAGUAAAAAUUCGACGGACAGGGGGACAAUCCGCAGGGAAGGCCCGGAUCGUUUGAAAUCCGGGAACCCUCAGAGACUUGAUGUUUGGAGUUGACUUAUGAAUAUCAGUGCGGAAUGGAUCACAGGAUUUGUUGAUGGGGAAGGAUGCUUUCAUAUCGGCAUCAAUACUCAUGAUGAAAUGACGGCAGGUUUUCAGGUUUUACCGGAAUUCACCGUUGUUCAGCAUCAAAGAGAUGUGCAAAUCCUGCAUGCUCUGAAAGCGUAUUUCC
rnacentral:rRNA from 1 species